GAAGUACACAUGAAUAACAUGAAGACUAAUACUAUAUUUUAUGAAGUUAAAAGAAUAAAUGAUUUGGGAGAGUAAAAGGAGUACUUUGAUCAAUAUAUAGGAGGGAUAGUACAAGCAUUCAUUUUGGAUUUGUAACUAUUUCGUAAUUGAAAAAAAAAUCCAAAUGUGAAUCAUAAAUCCAUGUCUGCAACUCUAAUUAUAAUCCCAUAACGUUGCAUUUAAUAUUUUCAUAACACAAGGAAAUGGCACAAAUCAUUUAAUUUCCUCCUUUUCAUAGAACAAAGGAGAGAGCACCAACAGCAAUUGCAACAUCAACCAACCUAAACUGCACUCCAUCAGAUACCAGCCAAGCCCGAAUUUUGUUCUCACAUACCUUCACCAUUUGAUUAAAGCCAAAGUAAUCAAGGGAUGGAACUUCACCAUUUUUUAAAAAUCACAUUAACGUAUUGCCAGGCUCAAAUUUUUGACAAUUCAGUUAAUGUCGCCAUAUGUGAAACCCUUCUUGUAACCAAAUAAACUUGUUGGACAACUGGACAAAACAAAGAACAUAUUAGCAAAUGAUUUAUUUGCUUA
rnacentral:misc_RNA from 1 species